rnacentral:misc_RNA from 1 species
AAGACUAUAGACCUGCGGAGUACCUGCGGAGGGAUCAUUACAUUUUCACAACAACGAUGGCGUCGUCCUUAGAACCGUCUCCGUGCGGCUCGGGGCGGCGUUUCAUCAGCGGGCACGUCGCGGCUUCCUGUUUUCAGGAAGUAAUCCCAUCUAGAAUGGACUCACGCGGGGUCGUCUGAAUCCUUAACUUUACGAGAACUCCCCAUACUCCUUCGGUGGGGUGACCUGCCGUUGGAACCA